CCUACGGGACGCAGCAGUGGGGAAUAUUGCACAAUGGGGGGAACCCUGAUGCAGCGACGCCGCGUGGGUGAAGGAGUACUUCGGUACGUAAAGCCCUAUCAGCAGGAAAGAAAAUGACGGUACCUGACUAAGAAGCUCCGGCUAACUACGUGCCAGCAGCCGCGGUAAUACGUAGGGAGCAAGCGUUGUCCGGAAUUACUGGGCGUAAAGGGCGCGUAGGUGGGUGCUUAAGUCAGGUGUGAAAACUCUGGGCUCAACCUGGAGACUGCACUUGAAACUGGGUAUCUUGAGGGCAGGAGAGGAAA
rnacentral:rRNA from 1 species